UAAAAUAAUGGAAACACCUCACAUUUAAUUUUUAUUAUAGCAAAUAGCAUUUGACCAUGCACAACAAAAUAUUCUCCAAAUCUUCAUAUGUUCUACAAAUUUAUAAUCAUAUCUUGGUCUCAUUUCUUUCACAUAAAGUAAAUGCCAACUAAUGGCCAGCCAAGCAAAUUACACUUGUCCCUAGUACAGCCUACAAGAGACACAAGUGGAGGCAUGCAUGUAAGCCUAACCACACAUGCAUGCCAGAUGUAAUGCCUCUCCAAACCGACAUAGCUACUAACCCCACUACAAAUAGGAGCCGUUCCUUUCACUAUGGUCCAUUCCACCUCACACACACACACACUGGAGUACCCCCACCACUUGCCUUUUCACCUUCUGCCACACUGCUGUCCUUCACUGCGGUGAAGCCCUUUGGAUUGCAUGCACCACCAGGUACUAAUCAAGUACCUUGUUGUGUUACCCUUUUUGCUUGAAUUCUUAUGUAUCUUCAUCUCGGUUUGAAUCAGUCCAUGAGCAUCUAUUCACCUUGAUCUAUUUACCUUGCUGUAAAAAGAACAAAAUGUUUGCAUAAACACCCAAGUUAAUCAAAACUAAUUAGAUCAAUUGCAAAAGCUUGUAAAAGUUUCUGUGAAUGACAUCUACGGCUCGUACUAGAUCUAACAUGCCAAGAAUCAAAUCCUAAGUACUAGAUCUAACAUGCCAAGAAUCAAAUCCUAAGUACUAGUAACUUGCUAAGACAUGUAUGUGUGUAUCCAAAAGAUGAAUCUUCCUGUGUAUACUACCUUGUUCUAAUUAUUAAUCCCCGCCAAUGUAUAGAAAACAUUGAAUGAUUGAUGUUUAUAAUCUACUCACAAGUAAUUAAUUUUGGAGCUUCACUGCCACUAUUUGCUUCUAUAUGGUGUUCAAGGAUGAGUAGCACUAGUUAGGAACAACAUUUAGAUCUAAUCAGUAGCAAUACCAUGACCACGCCAUAGAUUAAAUCUUGACUAAUUUCAUGGCCUUGAGAUAAACAAAGAGAAAGAAGGCAAUAUGGCUGAGUGGGCAAUAGUAGGGCCUGAGAUAAAAUGAACAAUAUAUGCACACCCACAUUGACAUCUAGCAAGCACUUGAUGUAAAAUUUGGAACACUUGAUGUAGAAGGAAUCAAAAUUACUCCCUCCGUUUCUAAAUACUUGUCUUUCUAGAGAUUUCAACAAGUGACUACAUACGGAGCAAAAUGAGUGAAUCUACAUUCUAAAAUAUGUUUAUAUACAUCCGUAUGUGGUAACCAUUUGAAAUUCCUAGAAAGGCAAAUAUUUAGAAACGAAAAGAGUAGUAUUUACCAGUAGUAGCAGUAGGAUGUGGCUAGUCCACACCGUUAGCAGCAGAGCCAUGCGACCGAGCAGCGCCGGUGAAGCCGCACACGCCCGACGCCCCUGGCUGCACGCCUCCUGCGUGUGGCUGCGCUUUGGGAGGAUGUAGGCAUGGAGAUGUCGUUGCCGCUCCAGCCGGUGGCAAGCCCACCGGACCUGAAUCAGGUGGUGCUAGGAUUGAGUGGUGGUGACGUUUUUGGUGGCGGCGGAUAAAAUAAAUAGGAGGAAAUGGUUGAGGGAGACGAGGAGAAUCUGUAGGUGUCCACCGUGUCGCCGGAGAUGACCAGAUGUGGCAGAUCGAGGAGGCGGCGGCCAUGCUCUGUUCUUGGGGAGAGAGAGAGAGAGGUGGGUGGCUGGUUCUGUUCUUGGGAUAGCAGAGAAGACGAGGAGAGAAACGAGCUGGGUUCAAUGAGUAAAAUACUAGUAGUGCAGUACUAGGCUACUGUUUCCUUUUUACUUAUCUUUUUUUACUCUCUGGGCUGGAUGGCAUACGUGCAUGCUACUCUGAUUUGGAUGGCUUGAUGCAUUUUAUCUCUCAAUGAAACACUAGGAUGUACGACAACCUAGUUAAUUAAUUAUGGCUUGCCCAACAUGACCGUGUUGCUGGAUCUUUAGAUUUAAAAUUAGGAAAUAUAAACAUGUUUGUGAAAUAAUUAUCAGGAGCCGAUCUCGGAUCCGUAGGAGCCACGUCCGGUGGUUCCGAGUUGGUCGAAGCACUAUUCGGCAAGUCGUCAUCUCCUUGACCAUGUCUUGAUAAAUGUUUUCCGGGCUAUGGGUCAUUUCCAAAAUUUUGCAUAAGAAUUAAAAAUAAAUAUUUUCCAUAAAUAAAAUGAAAUUUGGAUCAGGUGGAUCCACUGAUUUGGCAAUUGGACCAGAUCAGGUGAAGCAUCUGUAUUAAGUAGUUGUGUCCCGGGUAGGGUUACAAUAUAAAUAAAUAUUUGGUGGGUAGGGGAGCUCAUGUUGGUGAAAGCAACCCAGGGAGGGUCGGCUUGGAUGGCGGGCUCAUCUACAUAGGGUAUCAUAUUAGGACACAACCAACUGGCGCUUACUUCAAAAGUGGCGCAAACCGUACUGACCAUAGACCUGGAAUGGGAUGGGCUGAACCAACUACCCAUGCCAAGUAGCUGCCUCUGCAUGGGUGAGAAGGUGGCUGUAGCCGGGUAGGUACAGUCACCCUAGGGCGAGACCGCCGGUCAGGGGUCUCGACCCGCGGUCCUUUAGUAAGGCAAGGUGGAAAAGCAGAGGUAGUGUACGGGCUGGUUAAAGGUUCUGGUUCCAUGGUCUAGUCGUGUGCACGGGUAGCGCAUGGACGACUUGGACCAAGUGAUGCUAUGGGCAAAGCAGUACACCUCUGAUCAGAGUAAAUGUGAUAUCACUCCCAGCUUCCGGGUUUGGAAGUGCGUCGUGUGGGUUUUCCUCUCACACAAGAUUUAAGAUCCCACGUCGCUCUGUUGCCAGUAGAUUUUAUAAAUAAAAUUUGGUUUUCAACAAAAUGGGUUAAGGGAAAAUAUUUUUACCUACAAAGUAUUUUGAGUUAAUGGCUUGGUGGUUGUAGCCGUGGCCGAUAAAGUUUUUCCUCUUUAAAGACUCAUGCAUCCACUUUUCCCGGCGACUUGCGGAGUACGUAUUUUAUACGUACUCAGUUGCACUUAUGUUGUUUUCAGAACAAGAGAGUUAUGAGAACUCUGAGGCGAUAGAGAAUGGUACUUAUGAUGAGUCUGGUCAUCUUAAUGACUUCGGUUAUUCUGAAGUGGAGUAUGUUUACGAGGAAGUCAAUAAUCAAGGCUAUGAAGAGUAGAUGCCCUCCAUGGUUGGUCUAGAAGGCUCGUAACUAGAAGUGGAUGACGACCCAUCGUCAUGGUCGCUUAGGCUUAGUCGACGCUUGAGGUGUCAAUGUAAUAAAAGCUUGCCUACUCAUGGCUGCUGCACCGUCUUGUACAUGAUAUUGUUCUCCUUAACUGAUCCUGGUGCAACUCUGAAGUGACGGCUUCCGUUACGCUUGACUCUGUCGGACGUAACGGGGCAUCACAGAAGAGGUGGUAUCAGAGCCCCGUUAAGGAAACAGUCAUGUACUUAGUUAGAGACCGUCCGAGCCCAAGGAAAGAUAGGUUCGCUCCUUACCUAAAAUAAAAUAAGAGUUCUGAAAAGAAAAUCAUCCCUUCUCAAGUUCCACCUCUCCUAUGUAUAUAUACGUUUUGUGUAAAAAAUAUAUAACUCAAGUCAAGUGAAGAUUAAAUAAUUUAGACCACACAAUUGUGCAAGAAAAAUGUUUUUAUUUUUACUGUCCUAGGUAAAUUAAUUUUGCAUUGUGUUAUAACUAACUAAAUUCUUAAUUGCUUAAUGUAGGAUGACGAGUGGUAGGUUGUUUGGUACGGAUGCUGAGUAUGGUGGUUUUGCUCUGUUCUUGGUUAAGCUUCUUGGUCUUCUGGGUGUGUUGAUUGCACCAUACUACAUAGUGUUUCAUGACCCGUGUUUCACGACCCGUGUUCCACGGGGUACUUAGUCACGGUGCACAUUCCUGAGAGCUUAGAUGUCCCUUCUAGGUCAGUGUUGCACGUUAUGACUUUGUUUCAGCACUUCAGGGUGCGGCACCAGAUGCCGCUUUACACCUUUUCCACGUCUAUCACCCUCUCCUUGAGUACGUGGGCAGAGGCGAGUGGCCUCAUCAGUUAGAGGAGGCAGUGACCUCUUCCCAUUGUCGCUCCUUCGCCUUUUGCGUCCACUUCCGCUUUCCCUCCACUUCCACCACGUCCUCCUGUCUUACCACCCACAUUUUUACCACCACCAGCUCCGACUGCCGCUCGUCCACCUCUGUUCCUGACGGUUCCACCCACUCGUGUAGGCCGCCCAGCUCCUAGAGUCUUCAGGGGUUCCUCCUCUCGAGCAGUGUCACGUCCCUCCACACCGUACGAGCGUCCACCUACACCUCACAUUGUUCAGGACCUGUUAGAUCAGGUUGACACUCUUCAGAGGCGCUGCUCCGAGCUCGAGCGGGCGAAUAGCGAGAUGUCCUCUGCGUUGAGGGACUACACCCGUCCAGGUAUGGCCCUCAACCCUCUUUAGAUCGACAGCUCACCUUCCGCCUCUCUAGGCCAGAUAGGGUACCCGAUUGACCAGGAGUCUCCUGUCGCCGCCGAGCCUUCCUCUCAGGUUGCUCCUACCCUGAGUUCCGUUGUAGUGCCACCACCUCUAGAGCACACUCCCCACACUCCACCAGGUUCUCCGCCCUUCGUCCCUGCUCCACCUUCUCCUGAUGGCACCCCCGAGUUUUCAGUGAUCGGCGUCACUUACUCAGAGCUUCUAGCACUUGACUCCCGCCAGGUGUCUUCUCAGCCCACAGAGUACCUCGUGUCGCUUCUGACGUCACUCCCUCUGAGCACACUCCUUCCGAGUACCUGCUUAGCACCAUCAGUGUACCCGAGUCUGAUGUUGCUGCACCGAGUGUGUCUCUGUCAGCGCCGACUUCUGCCCUCGACCCCGACUUGCUCCUCACCGUUUCAUCUAGUACUCUUGUCAGGGAGGAUUGACUUGCUACCAGUAGUAGUAGUAGUUAGUAUUCUGGCAAGGUUGUAGCAUCGUGCUAGAUAGCUACUCCUCCCAGAGUUAGUUCCGCCAUUUAUUAGAUGUUUAGGCAGAUGCAUGGAGGUUGUCCUUUUGGAUCUUGUACAUAUCUGGAAAGGUCUUGGGGCCGUAGCUACCCUUCCACAGUUUGCACAGCUGUAGUUAGUCAGACUAGUUCCGACGGACAGAUAGGUCGGCAGGUAUACUUUUGUUCCAGGUACACGUGUAGAUAGCCGUGGUAGCCUGAUGAUGCAUGACAUAGAGUCAUAUGUGGUGUUGUUACUAUGUUAUGUGAUGUAUCCAUGUGGACUGGUGGACUUAUGGAUGUACUGAUAUUCUAUUACUAGAUGAUCUCGUGUGAUGCAUGUGCCAUGCCUCCAUGUUCAUUUUUUUAUUUUUUUAUGCAUUCCUAACUCUGUUGAAUAGAAUAUUGUAUGUGAUGAUGCUGCUACAUUUUUGCUAGUACUUCAUAAUGACAUCUGAUGUAUGGUAAAUUUCAUUUGGUGAUCUCCUUCACUCAAUUACAUGCCUUGAUACAUCACGUGUUGGGCCAGUAUAUAUGUGCUGAUGCUGCUACAUUUUUCCUAGCACUUCAUAAGUUAAAAUGAUGUAUGUCCGACACGUGAUGACUAUAUGCUUUUAGUCAUGUACGUGAAGAUCUUGUGUGUGGGCGUGCAUGUGCAAGUGGCUCUAUUUUUUUAACUUAUGAUUAAUCUCUUGUCUCUGCUAUGAUAAAAAAAAUCACUUUGUCUGACUGUAUUUAUUCUUUGGCCAACAACCAGUAAAAAAAUCUAGUACCCCACAGUUAAGUGCACUGAUUAAAGUGAUGCUCAAAGAAUAGCAAAUGAAGGUAAGCGUGAUGCGUACUGUUUGAGCUAAAAUCUCAUCACUAAUUAAACAAAUAAAAUUAUUUUACAUAAAGUAGCUAUCGUAAUAACCUAUGUCUUGCCCACCAGUUUGGUAGCGAUGGCAUCUGGUAGCCAGUCGUUCGAAGACAAUGGGAACCCAUCAGAUUUAGCCCGAGUCGCUAAGGAACAUGGCAGAUUUGCCAUCUAGAGUGACGUUACCUCCACUGCCACCAUUACCCGCUCAUGCCCUGGGAUCCGAUCAACUUGCUCUAAUGUACCAGUGGAUGGAGCAUUCUCGUCGAGACUCUCUAGAACACCAAAAUAAGUUCAUAGAACAGAUGUUUGGUAUGAUGAGAGGUCAACUGACUAAAAACUCAGAACAUAGUGUCACGAUUGGAGACUUCCAAAAUACUAGACCACCAACCUUUUCAACUGCCAUAGAUCCAUUAGCCGCAGAUGAUUGGUUGAUGGACAUAGAGCUUAAACUUAACACUGUGAGAUGCACGGAUCAAGAAAAGGUUCGGUAUGCAUCCCAUCAGUUAAUUGGUCCUGCUGCCACAUGGUGGAGAAAUGUCCAAAUUAGCAUACCAGAAAACCACAUAGUCACUUGGGACGAAUUUAAGAGGAGAUUCCGAGAUAACUAUGUCCAGCAAAGUGCGAUGGAAAUAAAAAGGAAGGAAUUCCUGAACCUUAAUCAAGGGUCUAAAACCAUCGCAGAGUACCUAGAUGAAUUUAACUCACUAUCCCGCUAUGCAUCAGAGGACACAAACACUGAUACCAAAAAGGUGUACCGGAUCAUAGAAGGACUGAACCCAUCCAUACAACUUAUUAUAGCUCCUAUAAAAAUAACUGAGUUCCGGGAGCUAGUAGACCGAGUCAUUACAAUCGAGAACCAGCAAAUCAUCGUAGAGGAAGAGCGCAGGAAGAAAGAUAGGAUGGAACCAAGGUUUGCCGUGAGAAGUGGAAAUCGUCCUGUUGGCCUAGUCCGCGUGCCAAUGGUCGGGCCCAUCCGUCCUCCUUUCUGUAAAGCUCAUAGACCACCUUUUAUGCCUCCGAGAGCCCCUAUCAAAUGUCACGUGUGCAGUGGACCACACUUGGCUCGAGAUUGCCCAAAGGCGAGUGUUGUUUGUUUUUGUUGUGGACAAAAGGGACACUACAAAAACCAGUGCCCAAGCAAGAGUCAACCACAAUCUGGCACAAAUGGAGCUGUCCCACCUCAAAAUAAGCGUCAGGCUAAUUCAGCCCAAGUACACGGGAAUGCGUUUACUGCCAACCGCGGGCGUGGUCAUGGCGGUCUCACACGUGGACCAUUCCGCCUGGCACAUAUGGAUGUGGCACAAGUGGAGUCAGCUUCAGACAGAGUGACGGGUAACCUACUAAUCCCUCCUAGAGUAGGACUAGUAUUGUUUGACCCAGGAGAAACAUAUUCUUUCAUAUCACAACGCUUUGUUGAGACGCAUAAUCUGGACCGGACCCCCCUAGCCAAACCCAUAAAAGUAGAUUCACCAGGAGGCCCAAUAAUUGUUGAGCAUGUUUGCCACAACCGUCCCUUUUGCAUUGAGGGCAUAACCUUUAAUGCUAGCCUAUUUAUCAUUGGCCUAAUAGGGCUAGACGUUAUUCUUGGAAUGGACUGGUUAGCGAGUCAUGGAGCAAGAAUGGAUUGUCCAGAAAAUCCAUAUCCUUGAGAAGCCCAGAAAAUAAAUGGAUAACCUUUAAUAGUAGAAGAACCCGAGCAAAAUCAAACCAAGCCUCAGUAGCCACUUUGGACAAAAACGAGGCUAAAGAUGUACCCAUGGUACAAGAAUUUUUGGACGUAUUUCCAGAAGAAUUACCCGGGAUGCCACCAGACACGGAGAUAGAGUUCACUAUUGAUAUCAUCCCAGGUACGGCACCCAUAUCAAAACGAGCAUACCGUAUGUCUGCGGAAGAACUAAAGGAAUUAAGAAAACAAUUGGAUGAACUAGAAGAAAAGGGGUUUAUUAGACCAAGUGUGUCACCUUGGGCAGCACCAGUCUUAUUCGUUAAGAAAAAGGACGAAAGUAUGAGGCUAUGUGUGGAUUAUCGAGCCUUGAAUGAGGCGACCAUUAAGAAUAAGUACCCACUACCAUGACUAGAUGAUCUAUUUGAUCAAUUGAAAGGAGCCACUGUGUUCUCAAAAAUAGAUCUCCGAUCUGGGUACCACCAACUAAAAGUAAAGGAAGAAGAUAUAAUUAAGACUGCUUUCAUAACCCGAUAUGGUCACCAUGAAUUCAUGGUUAUUCCCUUUGGGCUCACAAAUGCACCAGCAGUUUUCAUGAACCUGAUGAACCUAGUCCUCAUGCCAUAUUUAGAUAAGUUUGUGGUAGUGCUCAUCAAUGACAUCCUCAUAUACUCUCGAAGUAUUGAGGAAUAUGUUGAACACCUCCGAAUAGUGCUACGGACCUUGAGCGAAAAACAACUCUAUGCCAAAUUCAAAAAGUGUGAAUUUUGGCUAGAAGAAGUGUCCUUCUUAGGACACAUUAUAUCAGGGAAAGGGAUAGUCGUAGAUCCUGCUAAAGUAGAUGCAGUGUUGGCAUGGAAAUCCCGAACCAACGUAACAGAGAUUCAUAGCUUCCUUGGUUUAGCUGGAUAUUAUCGAAGGAUCAUAGAAGGCUUCUCCCAGAAAGCAGCCCCUAUGACCAAAUUACUAAGUAAGGGAGUUCCAUUUGACUGGAAUGAUAAGUGUGAGCAAAGUUUUCAACAGUUAAAGAAACGGCUCACAACCGCUCCUGUAUUGGCUCUACCCGAACCAGGCAAAGCAUUCAUAGUAUAUUGUGAUGCCUCUAGAGUUGGUUUGGGAUGUGUGCUAAUGCAAGAUGGGAGAGCCAUAGCCUAUGCCUCUCGCCGGUUAAAGCCCCAUGAACAAAACUACCCCACCCAUGACCUCGACUUAGUUGUCAUGGUAUUUGCGUUGAAGAUGUGGAGGCACUACCUUUAUGGAAACCGUUUUGAACUAUACACGGACCAUAAAAGCCUCAAGUAUAUCUUCGCGCAAAAGGAGUUGAAUAUGAGACAAAGACGAUGGUUAGAACUCAUUAAGGAUUAUGACGUUAGUGUCAACUACCACCCAGGAAAAGCUAAUGUGGUGGCAGAUACCCUUAGCCGAAAAACCUCAUGCAAUCAUGUCAAGAUGCCAACCUAUGAUAAGCAUCUGAUACCUGAGCAGAAGAUGAUGGGAAUUGAAUUCAUACAUAAACCGGUUGAGAAAAUCCUAGCCACAUUAGCAAUCAGACCCAAUUUGUUGGACGAAAUCAAGGAAAACCAAACCAAAGAUGAGUUUAUUUGUGAGGAAAAGCGCAGAAUACAAGAUGGUCAAUCAUCAGAAUUCCGAAUAGCGGAAGACGGAUCACUUUGGUAUAAAACCCGAGUAUGUGUGCCAAAUAUCUUGGAUAUUAAGCAGAUAAUACUCCAGGAGGUACACAACACUCCGUACACCAUACACCCUGGUAGCACAAAAAUGUACCGGGAUGUCAAGGAUACAUUUUGGUGGAGAAAUAUAAAAAGAGAAAUUGCUCAGUAUGUGGACGCGUGUGACACUUGUAAGAGAGUCAAGGCAGAUCACCAGCGACCACCAGGCUUAUUGCAACCUCUCCAAAUUCCACAAUGGAAAUGGAAGGAAAUCCACAUGGACUUUAUCACUGGACUGCCCAAAACAACAAAAUGAGAGGAGAUCAUAUGGGUCAUAGUUGACCGACUCACUAAAUCUGCCCAUUUUAUCCCUUUAGCCCCGGGUUGUUCCAGAGAAAAAUUGGCUGAGCUAUAUAUCCACAGGAUAGUAGCUCUACAUGGGACACCUUCCAGAAUAGUGUCAGAUCUAUGUUUGCAUCCAAGUUCUGGGAAAAAUUACAAGAAGCAUUAGGAACAAAAUUGGAUUUUAGUACCGCUUACCACCCCCAGACUAGCGGUCAAGUCGAGAGGGUGAAUAAAAUCAUAGAGGACAUGCUAAGGGCUUGUGUGCUAGAUUUUGGUGAUUCAUGGAGCAAGCACUUGUCCUUAGCAGAGUUCGCUUAUAACAAUAGCUACCAAGCUAGUAUUGGUAUGUCCCCAUUUGAGGCCUUAUACGGUCGAAGAUGCCGAACCCCAAUAUGUUGGGUGGAAACCGGAGAAAAGAAACUCUUAGCACCCGACUUGGUCCAAGAGACCGAGGAAAAAGUUCGCAUAAUUAGAGAGCGGCUCAAGACGGCGCAAAGCCGGCAAAAUAGUUGUGCGGAUAAGAGACGAUGUGAUAUACAAUGUCAACCCGGAGACUUUGUUUAUUUAAAAGUCUCACCAAUUAAAGGUGUCAAGCGCUUUGGAGUACAAGGAAAACUAAGUCCGCGAUAUAUUGGUCCCUAUCGGAUCUUAAAAAGAAGAGGGGCGGUGGCGUACAAAUUAGAAUUGCCAACGCACCUAUAAGGGGUUCAUGACGUAUUUCAUGUUUCCCAAUUAAGCAAGAGCGUAAAGUCACCAUUUGAGAGAGUCUCGGAGGAAAAAUUAACCCUCCGAAAGGACUUAACGUAUGAGAAGCAUCCUAGUCGUAUUCUGGACACCGAGGAAAAGAAACUCAAGAGUAAAACAACCUAAAUAUUGCAAGGUGCAAUGGGGAAAUCAUCCGGUGCGAGAAGCGACUUGGGAAAAAGAGGAUGAGCUUCGAGAAAAAUAUCCUUACCUUUUCAAGGUGCAACUUAAAUUUCAAGGACGAAAUUUUCUCUAAGGGGGAUAGGAUGUAAGAACCGUCAAAAUUAGAUAACGAUAAUUUCAACGGUGUUGCCCAAACAUUAAUUAAAAUAAUGGAAACACCUGACAUAUAAUUUUUAUUAUAGGAAAUAGCAUUUGACCAUGCACAACAAAAUAUUUUUCAAACCUUCAUAUGUUCUACAAAUUUAUAAUCAAAUCUUGGUCUCAUUUUUUCACAUAAAGUAAAUGUCAACUAAUGGCUAGCCAAGCAAAUUACACUUGUCCCUAAUACAGCCUACAAGAGACACAAGUGGAGGCAUGCAUGCUAGCCUAACCACUCAUGCAUGCCAGAUGUAAUGCCUCUCCAAACCGACAUAGCUACUAACCCCACUAUAAAUAGGAGCCGUUCCUUUCACUAUGGUCCAUUCCACCUCACACACAAACACAUACACUGGAGUACCCCCACCACUUGCCUUUUCACCUUCUGCCACACUGUUGUCCUUCACUGCAAUGAAGCCCUUUGGGUUGCAUGCGUCACCAGGUACUAAUGAAGUACCUUGUUGUGUUACCCUUUUUGCUUGACUUCUUAUCUAUCUUCACCUUGGUUUGAAUCAGUCCAUGAGCAUCUAUUCACCUUGAUCUAUUUACCUUGCUGUAAAAAGAACAAAAUAUUUGCGUAAACACCCAAGUUAAACAAAACUAAUUAGAUCAAUCGCAAAAGCUUGUAAAAGUUUCUGUGAAUGACAUCUACAGCUGGUACUAGAUCUAACAUGCCAAGAAUCAAAUCCUAAGUACUAGUAACUUGCUAAGACAUGUAUGUGUGUAUCCAAAAGAUCAAUCUUCCUGUGUAUACCUUGUUUGAAUUAUUAAUCCCCGCCAAUCUGUAGCAAACAUUGAGUGAUUGAUGUUUAUAAUCUACUCACAAGUAAUUAAUUUUGGAGUUUCACUGCCAUUAUUUGCUUCUAUAUGGUGUUCAAGGAUGAGUAGCACUAGUUAGGAACAACAUUUAGAUCUAAUCAGUAGCAAUACCAUGACCACGCCAUAAAUUAAAUCUUGAUUAAUUUUGUAGCCUUGAAAUAAACAAAGAGAAAGAAGGCAAUAUGGCUGAGUGGGCAAUAGUAGGGCCUGAGAUAAAAUGAACAAUAUAUGCACACCCACGUUGACAUCUAGCAAGCACUUGAUGUGAAAUUUGGAACACUUGAUGGAGAAGGAAUCAGAAUUAGUACUUACCAGUAGUAGCAGUAGGAUGUGGCUAGUCCACACCGUUAGCAGCAAAGCCAUGCGACCGAGCAGCGUCGGUGAAGCCGCACACGCCCGACGCCCGUGGCCGCAAGCCUCGUGCGUGUGGCUGCGCUAGGGGAGGAUGUACGCAUGGAGACAUCGUUGCCGCUGCAGCCGGUGGCAAGCCCACCGGACCUGAAUCAGGCAGCGCUAGGAUUAAGUGGUGGCGACAUUUUUGGCGGCGGCCGAUAAAAUAAAUAGGGGGAAAUGGUAGAGGGGGAUGAGGAGAAUCUGUAGGUGUCCACCGUGUCGCGGGAGAUGCCCGGAUGGGGCAGAUCAAGGCGGCGGCGACCAUGCUCUGUUCUUGGGGAGAGAGAGAGAGGUGGGUGGCUGGUUCUGUUCUUGGGAUAGUAGAGAAGACGAGGAGAGAAACGAGCUGGGUUCAACGAGUAAAAUACUAGUAGUGCAGUACUAGGCUACUGUUUCCUUUUUACUUAUUUUUUUUACUCUCUGGACUGG
rnacentral:lncRNA from 1 species